rnacentral:miRNA from 1 species
AAUAUACUGGAGUUCGGUGCACCU